rnacentral:rRNA from 1 species
AACGAACGCUGGCGGCAUGCCUAACACAUGCAAGUCGAACGAGACCUUCGGGUCUAUAGGCGCACGAGUUCGUAACGCGUGGGAACCUGCACUUAUGGUCGGAAUAACUCCCCGAAAGGGGUACUAAUACCGGAUAAUGUCUUCUAACCAAUGAUUUAUCGCGUUUGGAUGGGCCCGCGUUGAAUUAGGUAGUUGUUAGGGUAAAAGCCUACGAAGGCGACGAUCCAUAACUGGUCUGAGAGGAUGAUCAGCCACACUGGGACUGAGACACGGCCCAGACUCCUACGGGAGGGAGCAGUGGGGAAUAUUGGACAAUGGGCGAAAGCCUGAUCCAGCAAGGCCGCGUGAGUGAUGAAGGCAUUAGGGUUGUAAAGCUUUUUUAACCGGGAUGAUAAUGACAGUACCGGGAGAAUAAGCUCCGGCUAACUACGUG